AAUCCUCAAUGUACUCAGCAACAAAGGAUGCCAACCAGUCCACCUGUUAGCCUCCUGAAACACAUACUAGCUAGAAACUGCAAGCACUCAUUAGUGGCCUUCCAGAUGUCGCCAAGGAGAGGAUGGGCCUCAUAGUGCUUGGUCCCCUCCUAGAUCUGGCUGAUAACCAUCAGAGAAUCUCACUCAAUGAUGAUCUUUCAUGCUCGUAGCUCCCGGAUUGCACAGAUGACACCAGUCCAUGCAGCACGAAGCUUGGUACCGGACACGGACACCUCAUAAAGUGCUGAGCCCCCUGCAGUCAAUAUCCUCGAAUCCGGAUCUUGAAUGACAAAAUCG
rnacentral:lncRNA from 1 species